rnacentral:rRNA from 1 species
UCAAGCUAAUAAGGGCAGAAGGCGAAUGCCUUGGCAUUAGGAGUCGAAGAAGGACGUGGUAAGCUGCGAUAAGCCUCGGGUAGCUGCAAACAAGUUUUGAUCCGGGGAUCUCCGAAUAGGGAAACCCACUUAAGGCAAACCUUAAGUAUCUAUUACUGAAUACAUAGGUAAUAGAAGACAUACCAGGAGAACUGAAACAUCUAAGUAUCCUGAGGAAAAGAAAGAAAAAUCGAUUCCCCAAGUAGCGGCGAGCGAACAGGGAAGAGCCCAAACCCGACACUCAACUCAUAAGAUAAUUAAAGGUUAAAACCAAAACCUACUUUAAACAAGAAAACAAAAAGGUUAAGACUAAAAUUAUAGUAUGAGUUGAGUGUCGGGGGUUGUGGACCGGCAGAAACGUAAACAGUUUGUAGUAGAAGAGAAGUGGAAACUUCCACCACAGAAGGUAACAGUCCUGUACACGAAACAAACCAAUACGUAGCCGAGAUCCAGAGUACCACGAGGCACGUGAAACCUUGUGGGAAGCAGGGGGGACCACCCCCCAAGGCUAAAUACUACCUAGUGACCGAUAGCGCAUAGUACCGUGAGGGAACGGUGAAAAGAACCCCGGGAGGGGAGUGAAAUAGAACCUGAAACCUUCUGCUUACAAACUGUGGGAGUCCGACACUCAAUUAAAUGUAUCAACAGAGUUGAUAUAAAAUUGGUACAUUUAAUUGAGUGUUGGAUGACCGCGUACUUUUUGUAGAACGGGCCAACGAGUUACGGUAUGUAGCAAGGUUAAGCGCUAAGGGCGCGUAGCCGCAGGGAAACCGAGUCUUAACAGGGCGAACAAGUUAUAUGCCGUAGACCCGAAACCAGGCGACCUACCCAUGGUCAGGAUGAAGCGAAAGUAAAGUUUCGUGGAGGUCCGAACCGGUUGACGUUAAAAAGUCAUCGGAUGAACUGUGGGUAGCGGUGAAAUUCCAAUCGAGCUUGGAGAUAGCUGGUUCUCGCCGAAAUAGCUUUAGGGCUAGCCUCGAUGAUAUAGUUACGGAGGUAGAGCACUGAAUGGUCAAGGGACCUUCAUUGGUUACCGACACCUAUCAAACUCCGAAUACCGUAAACUUUUAAUCGGGAGUCAGACUGCGUGUGAUAAGAUUCGUAGUCGAAAGGGAAACAGCCCAGACCAUCAGCUAAGGUCCCAAAGUAUACGUUAAGUGGAAAAGGAUGUGAAGUUGCACAGACAACCAGGAUGUUGGCUUAGAAGCAGCCAUUCAUUCAAAGAGUGCGUAAUAGCUCACUGGUCAAGUGACUUUGCGCCGAAAAUGUCCGGGGCUCAAACGUAUCACCGAAGCUAUGGCCCGACACUCAACUCAUAAGAUAAUUAAGAUAAAAACGGAAUUUACAAUAGUAAAGAAAGUUUUGGAAAACAUCAAAAUUGUAGUAUGAGUUGAGUGUCGGGGGUAGGCGAGCGUUCUAUAUUGGCAGAAGCUGUAUUGUAAGAUAUGGUGGACGAUAUAGAAGCGAGAAUGUUGGCAUGAGUAGCGAGAGGCAGGUGAGAAUCCUGCCCGUCGAAAACCUAAGGUUUCCUGAGGAAGGCUCGUCCGCUCAGGGUUAGUCGGGUCCUAAGCCGAGGUCAAAAGGCGUAGGCGAUGGACAACAGGUUAAAAUUCCUGUACCACCUUAGGGCCGCUUGAGAGAUGGAGUGACACAGUAGGAUAGGCACAGCGCACCGUUGGUUGAGUGCGUCUAAGUAAGUAGGGAGCAUAAAGAGGCAAAUCCCUUUAUGCAAUCCCAAGAUACGAAUGGGAGCGAAAAAUAAGUAGCGAACUGGCCGACUCCACACUGUCGAGAAAAACUUCUAUCGAGGCCCGAAGGUGCCCGUACCGCAAACCGACACAGGUAGGUAAGGAGAGAAUCCUAAGACGAUCGGGAGAACUAUUGUUAAGGAACUAGGCAAAAUGACCCCGUAACUUUGGGAGAAGGGGAGCCGAUUUCGGUUAAAGAUUUACUCUGUAAGCCGGAAUCGGUCGCAGAGAAUAGGCCCAAGCGACUGUUUAGCAAAAACACAGGUCUCUGCUAAGUCGAAAGACGAAGUAUAGGGGCUGACGCCUGCCCGGUGCUGGAAGGUUAAGGAGACGUGUUAGCUUAAGUGAGCAGUAAUGUAAACUUAGGCAAAGCAUCGAACUUAAGCCCCAGUAAACGGCGGCCGUAACUAUAACGGUCCUAAGGUAGCGAAAUUCCUUGUCGGGUAAGUUCCGACCCGCACGAAAGGCGUAACGAUUUGGGCACUGUCUCGACAAUAGACCCGGUGAAAUUGUAAUACCAGUGAAGAUGCUGGUUACCCGCGACAGGACGGAAAGACCCCGUGGAGCUUUACUGCAACUUGACAUUGGAUUUCGGUGCUAUAUGUACAGAAUAGGUGGGAGACUGCGAAGCUAGAGCGCCAGUUUUAGCAGAGUCACCAUUGGGAUACCACUCUUAUAGUACUGAAGUUCUAACCAUAAGCCGUGAUCCGGUUUUGGAACAUUGUCUGGUAGGCAGUUUGACUGGGGCGGUCGCCUCCCAAACAGUAACGGAGGCGCCCAAAGGUUCCCUCAGCACGGUCGGAAAUCGUGCGUAGAGCGUAAAGGCAGAAGGGAGCUUGAUUGCGAGAGAAACAGCUCGAGCAAGGACGAAAGUCGGGCUUAGUGAUCCGGUGGUUCCGAGUGGAAGGGCCAUCGCUCAACGGAUAAAAGCUACCCCGGGGAUAACAGGCUUAUCUCCCCCAAGAGUCCACAUCGACGGGGAGGUUUGGCACCUCGAUGUCGGCUCAUCACAUCCUGGGGCUGUAGUAGGUCCCAAGGGUUGGGCUGUUCGCCCAUUAAAGUGGUACGCGAGCUGGGUUCAGAACGUCGUGAGACAGUUCGGUCCCUAUCCGUCGUGGGCGCAGGAAAUUUGAGAGGAGCUGUCCUUAGUACGAGAGGACCGGGAUGGACACACCACUGGUGAACCAGUUGUUCUGCCAAGAGCAUAGCUGGGUAGCUAAGUGUGGCAGGGAUAAGUGCUGAAGGCAUCUAAGCACGAAGCCCCCCUCAAGAUAAGAUUUCCCACCCGACACUCAACUAUGUUUAUUAGGAGAAAUACAAAUGUACUAUGUAUAUAUAAUCCAAAAUGAACAAAAGCAAUUAUAUACAGGAUAUACAUCAGAUUUAAGACGAAGAAUAAAAGAG